rnacentral:sRNA from 1 species
AAUUUGGAGUAGAAAAAAAAACAAUAGAAGAAUUCCAUUUUCCUUCCUCAAUCAUCGGAGAGCUCUCUUUGGGCUUUCCGAAAAGGUAUCUCAUGCCAAGUUUGGCCUCACGAACUAAAAGUUAUAGAGUCAUACAUUUUUAACAAAACAAAAUAGAGAAAAACCGAAAAAAGAGGGAUGCAACACAAGGACUUUCCGGGAGGUCACCCAUCCUAGUACUACUCUCGCCCAAGCACCCUUAACUGCGGAGUUCUGAUGGGAUCCGGUGCAUUAGUGCUGGUAUGAUCGCCCGUGUUACUACAUGCAAUGCAAUCGUAUCUAUUCUUUUUUAAAGAUUUUAUGAUCCAUUUGCCGUGGGUCCCACCAGCUAUGUAGGAAUACCCUAUCUUCUUUAUAAGAGGUUUGAUACAUACAAAAUAUUGGAUCACAAUGUCAGAACAUAUAAUUUUCCCCCCUUAAUAUAGCAAAGAUCACUAAAAGGCCCGAAAAAAUACAUUUAGUUCAAAAUUUGGAGUAGAAAAAAAAACAAUAGAAGAAUUCCAUUUUCCUUCCUCAGUUAUCGGAGAACUCUCUUUGGGCUUUCCGAAAAGGUAUCACAUGCCAAGUUUGGCCUCACGGUCUAAAAGAUAUAGAGUCAUACAUUAUUAACAAAACAAAAUAGAGAAAAACCGAAAAAAAGAAGGAUGCAACACGAGGACUUUGC